rnacentral:rRNA from 1 species
ACGUAGGUGGCAAGCGUUGUCCGGAAUUAUUGGGCGUAAAGCGCGCGCAGGUGGGAAAGUAAGUCUCAUUUAAAAGAUCGGGGCUCAACCCCGUUAAGGGUGAGAAACUGCUAUUCUUGAGUGCAGGAGAGGAAAGCGGAAUUCCCAGUGUAGCGGUGAAAUGCGUAGAUAUUGGGAGGAACACCAGUGGCGAAGGCGGCUUUCUGGACUGUGUCUGACACUGAGGCGCGAAAGCCAGGGGAGCGAACGG